GCGCCCGUAGCUCAGGCGGAUAGAGCGAGGGACUCCUAAGCCCUAGGUCGGCCGUUCGAAUCGGCCCGGGCGCA
rnacentral:tRNA from 1 species